UAUCAUGGUCACGCUCCAUAAAUCUAUUCAAUCCUCCUCUAUUGAACAGCCAAAUUGUUACAAUCUUCUUUCAACUUCUCAAAUAUUUGAAAUUCUAUAGUUUCAAAUACGCUUACAAUUUUAAUUUCACAUGCUACUAAUGUUUUAAAAAAAGAAAUAUCAACCCAAUGUCCAAACAAAUAAUGCUGUGCGCGUUUAAUCGGACAAUGGUUUUCGAAUCAAGCAUGGGAAACCUUUGGCGCCUUUAUCACAGUGGAAGAAAACUUCUUCACCAACGUAUUUGCCAACAAUUCAAACAUUCUUCUCCAUUCCUAAAAUUACUAUCAACUUCAAGAUUUGACUCACAGAAAAAUAUAGACUAUUUUCAAGCUUCACAGAAGCUGAAAACUCUAUAUCCAACUAUAUUUCCUACACAAAGCUCCUUUCACAGCCUUCCCAAACAAAGUCUUUGGACGCAGGUCUUCAAAUCCAAGCAUUUGAUUAUCAAAUGAUAGUAAACAUAAGAACCACUUAAUUACUUUUUAUUUAAAAUGUGGUACUUUUGACUAUGCAUGGAAACUGAUCGAUGAAAGUGCUGAACCAGAUUUGGUGUCUUGGAUCUGGAUAUACCCAGAAUGGUUUUGGUAAAGAUGCUAUCUGGGGUUUCUUCAAAAUGCAAUUUUGGGUCUUAAAUGUAAUGAAUUCACUUUUCCUCGUGUUCUUAAGGCAUGUUCUUUUGAGAAGGAAUUUCUGUUAGGAAAGCAGCUUCACGGUGGGGUGACAGGGUUUCAGUCUGAUGUUUUCGUCGCGAAUACUUUGGUUGUUAUGUAUGCAAAAUGUGGUGAGUUUUUUCAUUCUAGGUUGUCGUUCGAGGAAAUUCCGGAAAGAAAUGUUAUUUCUUGGUAUGCUUUGUUUUCUUGUUACACACAAACUGCUUUUUUCAGUGAGGCAAUGUGUAUGUUUCAUGACAUGAUUGAUAGUGAAGUUAUGCCUGGUGAGUAUAGUUUAUCCAACACACUAAAUGCUUGUACUGGUUUAGGAGAUAUUGUUCAAGGAAAGAAAAUUCUUGGAUUUUGGUAAAGCUUGGUUAUGAUUCUGAUCCUUUCUCGUCUAAUGCCACUUGUCGACAUGUAUGCCAAAGGGGGAGAUCUUAAGGAUGCAAUUACAGUUUUUGAGGGAAAUGCGGUGCCGACAUUGUUUCAUGGAAUGCUUUUAUAGUUUUUUUUUUUUUCCGUCAUGAAUGUCACCAGCAGGCUUUAGACACGUUGAAUCAGAUGAGGAGGUUUGGAAUUUUCCCUAAUGUGUUCACUUUAUCAAGUGCUCUCAAGGCUUGUGCUGCAUUGGAGCUUCCAGAAUAUGGUAAAGGAUACAUUCUCUUUUGAUAAAGAAAGAUAUCAUAUUGGAUCCAUUCGUAAGUGUUGGUCUUAUUGAUAUGUAUUGCAAGCGUGAUUUGACCAAGGAUGCGAGUUUGAUCUAUGAUCUGAUGCCCGAGAAGGAUUUAAUUGCAUUGAAUGCUAUGAUCUCUGGUUACUCACAGAUUGAGGAAGACAAUGAAUGUCUAGACCUUUUUGUUCAGAUGUACAACCAAGGAAUUAGAUCUGACCAGAGAAGUUUACUUGCCAUCCUCAACUCUGCUGCUGGCUUGCAGGCUGCUAAUGUGAAACAAGUACAUGUACUUUCUAUGAAGUCAGGAUUUCAGUGUUGACACAUUUGUCAUAAACAGUCUUGUUGAUUCUUAUGGAACAUGUAGCCUGCUGGAUGAUGCAACUAAAACUUUUGACGAGUGCCCUAUACGGGAUUUGCCAUCUUUUACCUCUCUUAUAACCGCUUAUGCUCUAUAUGGCCAAGGUGAAGAUGCUAUGAAACUCAACCUGAAGUUGCAAGAUAGGGGACUCAAGCCAGACUCAUUUGUUUGUAGUUCUCUCCUAAAUGCAUGUGCAAAUCUAUCAGCAUAUGAAUAUUGGAAACAAAUACAUGCUCAUUUAUUGAAAUAGGAGUGCAGGCACCUUAUGUCAAGCGGUGUCACAUGACACCGCUUUGUCAAAAAUUUUCGUCAAUAUGUAUAUAUAGAUAAUAAGAAAAAUACAAAUAUUUGAUAUAAAUAUAAAAAAUGACACGGCAUAUCGUUGUAGUGAUUUAUGUUCACUUUUUCAAAUGUUGACACCGCUUACAAAAAUUCUUGCGUUUGCCACUGUAUUGAAAUAUGGGUUCAUGUCAGACGUAUUUGCUGGUAACUCCCUAGUGAACAUGUAUGCCAAAUGUGGAAGUAUAGAGGAUGCUAACCGUGCUUUCACUAAGGUUCCUAAGAAAGGUAUUGUUUCAUGGUCAUGGACAUGCAAAAGAGGUGCUUCAUUUAUUUGGCGAGAUGCUGAAUGAUGGCGUAUCUCCCUAUCACAUAACAUUGGUUAGUGUCCUUUGUGCACGUAACCAUGCUGGCUUAGUUGCAGAAGCCAAGAAGUAUUUUGACACAAUGAUAGAUUCAUUUGAGAUUGAACCAACUUAAGAGAAUUAUGCCUGCAUGAUCGAUGUCCUUGGCCGGGCAGGAAAACUAGAUGACGCUAUUAAUCUCAUAAAUAAGAUGCCUUUUGAAGCUAAUGUAUCUGUCUGGGGUGCUCUUCUGGGUGCUGCAAGAAUCCAUAAGAGUUAAGAGGUAGGAAUAUGUGCUGCUGAGAUGCUUUUUAAUCUUGAGUCAGAGAAAGUUGGCACUCAUGUUCUUGUAACAAACAUUUAUGCAUCAGUUGGGUUGUGGGAAAAUGUUGCAAAAGUAAGAAGACAGAUGAAAGACAAUAGAGUGAAAAAGGAACCUGGGAUGAGUUGGAUGAGGUCAAAGAUAGUGUUUAUACGUUUAUAGUGGGAGACAGAAGCCAUUCUAGGAUUGGGACAGUUAAUGACUAAAGCUGGUUAUGUUCCAAUCGUAGAGAUUGAUUUCCAUGAUGUGGAAAAGAGAGAAAAAGAAAUUCUUCUCUCCUACCAUAGUGAGAAACUAGCUGUUGCAUUUGGGCUGAUUGUAACACCUCCUGGUGCUCCUAUUAGAGUGAAGAAGAACCUCCGGAUAUGUUUGGACUGCCAUACAGCUUUCAAGUUCAUUUGUAAAAUUGUCUCUAAAGAGAUCAUUAUUAGAGUAUUAACCUAUUCCACCAUUUUAAGGACGUUUCUUGUUCAUGUGGUGAUUAUUGGUAGCACUUGAAGGAUUAACUCUUUCAUUUGGCUAGAAGAUCCUGCCACUGAGCAAGUUUAUACUUUCUAAUUCGCCUGGAGCUGAUAAGAGGCUGAUGCUGCAGGUCUCCACAAUCUCCAGUAUCAAAAUCAAUAACUAGUUCAACAGUUAGAUGCCAGAAACACAAGUUGCAUGAUCUUGAAGGCAAAAGGAUAGAAUUAUGGGACAGUGAAGCUUCUUAUGAUUACUUCUUGGUUACAUUAAAUCGGCUCUGGAAUCAGCUAACUUCUUUACUCAUCUUAAUAGUGUGGUGUCUGAAUGGCCUAAAAAACCUAACUUGUGAUUUGCGUCGUUUGAUGGUCCUCUAAGUGAUCUGAUUCUUCUUGGAGCACGCAGUGUGGCAGAUCAAUUUGCUUUGCAAAGCUGGGAUCAUCUGGAUUAUUCUCGAGGUUCAAUUCUAUGAUGUCCCACGGAGGAGAUAUUCCUGUGUAGGCUGUAGAAAACCAAUGUUUGGCAGUUCCAAUGCCAAAUCUAUUGUGAAUAUCAGAGAAGCUCAUGAUCUGUGUCAAUCUUUAUCUUGGAAGAUGCUAUUGAUGCUCAGCGAACUAAAACAGAAUUUUUUUCUCUUGUUUUGGAAGGACAGACAUCAGCACAAGAUGCUAUCAUUCUUUUAAGGAAGGUCGAUGCUACGAUGAAAGAGGAGUUCUUCAUUUCAAACACAAAGAAUAGGCUGAUGCAAUUGGAGUUUGUCGUCAAAGCCAUUCACUGCUUCAAUCUGAGUUAAAAUGCCUUGAAGAGACAGUACUUCUGUGGCUGUAGGAAUUGGUAUAUGAUGUUUAUCUUCAACCAUGUAUGAUGGCAUGGAAUUGAAAGCUAAGAGCUCCAAAUAGAAAACCCGUAUCAUCAGUUACCGUCCAGCCAACUUAUACAAAGAGCUGUGCCUGCUACAGAGUGGCAACCUGCUUCUGAGUCAAACUCAAUGUCCCAGGCAGAUGAAGGUUUAUGUCAAGAAGGGGAAACAAAAUCUGUCUACCUGAGCAAUUUGCCGUCCACUGUACUAGUCUAGAUUCUUUGCUAGAGUUUAAGAACUUCGGUAAGAAUAAGCAGGAUGGAGUAUUCUUGAAAAAGCGCAAAGUAGUUUUUUUCCGGUUGUCAAUAUUAUAUGCUUCAAUUGUCUUACAUGCUCUAAUAUUUUGAUUGCAAUUGAUGGGCAGGAUAUCAGCAUUUGCUAUAUCUUUGUUGAGCUUGAAUACCUCCAAGGUGUCCAAAAUGCAAUUAAGAUAUGAACUUUGAAAAUUUGAAAUCAUGAUUCAUGUUGUGUGUUUUCGUGGAGGAUUUUGAGUUGCAUUUCUAGUUAUUGGUAAAAGCUGCUCUUAUUUUUUCCUUUACCUUCUGUCCUGUAUGAUUCUCAGCAGAUUGUUCACUCAUUCUUAAUGUUGGCUAGCUUGUAGCAUUAAAUCGCAUUCGUAAGUUCUGCGUUUGAAAUAUUUCUGAUCACAUAGAUCAAUGAUCUUGUAUUAAAUGGUUGUGGAACUUGCUAUCAGUAGAUAAAUUGUUUUCUGAAACAAUAUGAUGCAGUUAGUUGUCUUGAGUAAUAGUUGUAAUUGGAAGGUGUACUUCCAUGAAUUAUUGCCACAAUCUCAUAUUCAGACAUUACUUUGUUAUCUCAUCCCUUGUAUACCUAGUAUAUGAUGCUUUCUCUUCCCUGUUCUUAGACAUUACCCGUACAGUUGGCUGGAAGGCAAGUCUACAUUGAGGAAAGUAGAUCAAUCAGCAGUAGUGUUUCUCGUGGAGGUAGUCUGUACCUUAAAAUUAAUUUCAAUUUCACAAGGUGAGAAGUGCUAAUCUUGUACUUUUGAAUAUUUAUCAAUUAUACUUUGAAGCUUCAUUUGCUUGUAUUUGUGGUCCAUACAAAAGUGGCAGUUACAAAUAUCCACGGUAAUGGCUCUCUGCUUCAUUUAAUUCAACAUGAUUAAGAUAUUUGCUUCGUGUUCUGAAUUUGCUCUUUUGUGUGAAACUGAAAGUAUAGGUCCUAGCCAGACUUCUUCUUAUAUUUUAAAGUAUAAAACUUUAAAUCUCUGUUAUGUCGUGGUCUUUUACUUCUCACCAAUUAAAUUGAGAAACAAGCCAAUGCACAAACUCUGCCUUUAAUUUUUCUUAGGGUGAAUAAAUGAACUACUAAUAUUGGAGCCAGAUAAUUUCGUAGAAUUUAGAAUUUGAGUUUUUGUGCUUUCCUUGAAGUAUACCAAACAUGUGAAGAUGUUCCAAAAGGACAAGUGUAUAAAUAACUUGGAAUGAGGGGAGCUUAAUCACUAAUUUAGUAACCUAAAAUUUAUUGACAGAUUGCAAUGACCUUGUAAUAUCAAUAUCGAUUUUAUUUACUUCAAUAGCAUAGUCCUUGGCAUUGCCUGAAGCUUGAAUCUGUGAACUUUUGUUUGUUCUAAGGCAUGAGCUUAGUGUGUGAAAUCUGUUAUUUAUAUAUCAACGAAAUCUGUUACCAUUUCAAAAAAAAAAAAAAAAAAGAUCUUAGCAUGUGAAACCAGGGAAUUUUAGAAAGAUUUCUUGAGAUGAGGUGGUUCAGGUGAUGAUGAGACUCUAAAUUAGAUGUCUGUGGAAUUGUUUCCUAGAUACAUACGUGUCAGUUAGUUAUUCUCCUUCUACCAUAGAGGGCCAUAAAUUCUUUUUUGGGCAACUAAGUUGGGAGAGUCAAUACUCUUGUCAAAUAAGCAGAAGAGAGGGGGGCCUGCUGUACUUAUAUCUCUUUAUGCUUUUCUUAGAGAUUUGUUCAAUCUUUUGCUUGCUUGAGUAGUUCUUUGGUUGAACCAAUUACCAUUAUCCUUGUAUGCGGGAUAUAAUAUCUUGGUCAUGACUUUUAAUCUCCAUGUUCUUUAGUUAGCCUGUGUACGGAGAUUUCCUGUUUCAUUUGGAUUGAUAUGACAGUACUUCAACUCCCAAAUAUGUUUGUUUGGUUAUCAACUAACUGGGGGUACUGUAGACUUCCCAUUUUAUUGGCUUGCGAGUUUUUUUUAUUGUAUAAAAGGGAAAUCUUAUUAAGAUACUAAGUACCAGUACAAGGCUUGAUCUUUCUAGGGUACAUGGUCCUUUUAAGAUCACUUUCAAAGUUAAGCUUCAAAAACAGGAGGUACAACAUAAAAUAAAAUAAAAUUCAUUGAGUUGCAUCUUCCUUUCUUCCUUCCUUAGCUACGCAGUCUGCAGUCUGCUACCUUGUUUGCUUCUUUGUAAAUAUGUCAUACCUGAAAUCCUCCUAGCCUAGAUAGUAGGAACCUGCACCCAUCAAUCAGAUUAGUAUAACUAGUAUUACCUUCUUUUAUCAUGUCAAUCACUUAUCUGGAGUCAAGUUUCAGUUUGUAACCGAUGGAAGUGAUGCCUUAAUGCUAUUUCUGGACCUUCUCUUAGAGCUCUUAUUUCUUCAUGGUUAUUUGUUGUGUAGGGGAUAGAUUUGGAGUAUCCCAAAAGCCAGCUACCAUUACUGUUUCUGAAUACACCACUCAAACCCCCUCUGCCUUAGAAGCCCCGUCAAUAUUAAGUUUAAUCCAACCUAUGUCUGGAGGUUGCCACCUUAUUUGUUUUAAGAUGUAGUCCUUAGAGUUAUUAUUUCCUAUUAAGGCUCAAAAAAAGUCAAAGGCUCUUGAUAAAAUGUGGCUUGUGAUGUAUUGUUGGUGGGUGCAAAUUCUAAUUUUAUUACUUUUUUCACCCUUCGACAUGUGUUUGCUGGAUUUAUGAAGAAUUCAACCUUAUCAAAGAAAAAGAAGAAGAGAAUAUUUCAAUGAUUACGAGCAGAGCACCAUCAAAGAAUAUUUUAGUAACUGCACUAUCUGCUGCUUUAAUUAUGCAUGUUUUGACCCUCUCUUUGUCAACAUAUUCUUCCACAACUGCCUUGAUCAGUUAGGCAAAGAGGCAAAGGAGGAUGUUCCAGGAUAGGAAUUUUCAGAGGGGAAGCAAUCAAGGCAAUGGUUUUCGGGGCACAUGAUAUAUAAGAGUAUAACUAAGCAACCUGAAAAACAAAAUUUUGGCAGAGGAUGAUGAGGAAUGAAGUGUUCUCUCUUUCUGAUGGUAUAGUCUUCUCACGAAAGGAAUUAGAUAUAUCUCAGUGUUCUCUUUUCCUUUUUUUUUUGGGCAUCCAGAAAUAUAUUUUUGCUCUUUCUCCUAUAGUCACAGUUAAUGCUAAUUUCUCCUACAAUGAUGGUACUACAAUCCAAGAUGAAAUAAUGUUAUUUUGAUUGUUCAAUGCAGCUUGUCAGAAUGUCUUGAGCAAAGCUAAAUGGUAUGGUGGUGACAUCAAGCGGCUUCCUCAUAAUCCAUGUCCCCAAUUCUCCUGAUUGUAAUAUGGUAUUAAACAUGUAAGCUUUGCAAGCAAUGAAAAUCACGAGGAAAUUGUCAAUAUAAACGCUUAGCACAAUUGGAGUUUGACAAGUGCUUCUGUUUCACCAUUCACAGGGCUAGUCAGUCAACCACGA